rnacentral:lncRNA from 1 species
GUUUAACGCAUGUAUUAUGUUAAUUGGGUACCCAAAAUUGAACAAGAAUCUGCACGUAAGUCGCUGAGGGUCCCCGCCCCCAGUUGGUUGUGAUUGGUAAAUAAAGUUGCCAGUGGCCAAUGGCUGGGCAGAGAGACAGAGGCUGGACUUUGGGAUUCACAGGCAAGGGACCAAGAAAAGGAGGAGGAGUUAGAAUUGCCGUGCUAGGAAAAGGAAACGGAACAGGUCUGAGGGGUGCAGAAGAGAGAGCACAGCAAUCAUGUAAGAGACGGGAAGAGUGGUCCCAGCCCCCCUCCCGGCCCACUAGGUCUAGGAAUACAAAGAUGAAAUAUAGAUUUCAGUAAUAAUUCAGGAAUAUCGGAUGGAAGAGUGUAUUAGCCGUGUGGAGCUUUGGAAGUGCCCAACCAUUGAGCUGAUUGAGGCAUAUUAAAUAUAAGGCUGUGUGUGUGGAACUCCAGUCUAGGACUCGGGCGGCUUCACUUCUCUCUUCGAUUCUGAAGCUUCUAGUUCCAUGAAUCCAUCCACUGGUUUCUUUGUCUCUCUGGCUACCAUCAGCUAUUACGAGGAUCUACUCUGCUUCUAGUCAGGCAAGCCAAUCUACUAAGCCAGUCUCUGGUUGUAAAGCCAACCUGCUGU